GGUCGUGUAGGGUCGUGAGGGGAUUGGUUCUCAAUAAGAGAAAUUUUAGAAUGGUUGGAAAAAGUAAAAACCAUCUUUCCAACAAAAUUUAACUCUACCUUAAAAUAUCUUAAAAAAUACUAAAUUGGUGCGACCAAAUAUCAAAACUAGUCCUUAAAUUUAGUUUUUUAAUAAUGUUUUAAUCAGAUGGUGAAAACAAAAGAAAUAGCUUGUACUAGUACUGAUGGGUACUUUUAAACCACCGUAAAAUAGCUCACUAACUAAUAUAAUAUCCGAUCCAUUGUAAUAAUAACUUCCAUUAAACGCAAAGGGAAUACGGUAAAGGUAAACAAACUUGUGAUCAAGUUGGUUAGUGGUUCGAGUGUAACUUUAUAAGGCAGAUGAAGACGCCAAUAAAGGGCAUUUUGAGUGACAGAUACAUUCUCUGCAACUGAAGAUCGUAGACGCCAAUGAGCAAGGUGGUGUAGCGUAGCUCGUAGUGUGCGUCCACCAUCUGCUGAUGACGGUCG
rnacentral:lncRNA from 1 species